UGCCAGGUGGCGCUUCAUCAGGAUUUGAGACGGGCUCAGUCCACCUGGACAAUCAAACUCCGCCCACUCCCACCCUAGCCAAGGCUCUAGAGUGCUUUCAUUCUCGCCCCCUUCAACUCCGCCUUAAUCCGCGUGCCUGAACCCUUGGUGUUCAGAAAGAGAACUGGGCUAGGGGAGGAGAAAGCGGAAGAGGCCGGCAACAGUCUGCCAGUUCUUGUGCCUCACUAACUUCCUCGGGCUAGAAAAGGACCCGCCGAAAGGGGCACUGUGGCCUUAUAUACAUCCUGUUUGUAUUUCUUCAUUAAGACUGCCUUGCAUCAAGACAAAACUAGAGAAGAUGAGCCUACAGAGUAAGGUCUUUAUUCUUCGAUCAGGUAAAGUCAAACUUGAAGUGGGCUGGCAUUACACCAAAGCAACUAGAACUCGCUGCCACUGACAGAAGCAGCUGGCAAACCCACAUUAACCAUGCUGCCGCCACCUUUGAAGACGAACGACGUCGACGUCUUGCUGCUGCGCUUGAACACUGACACCAGGCCACAACCGCACCUCCUGUAACAACUGGUGUCCCAUCCUCCAUGUUCCACAAACUCUGCACCUCAGUCUUACAUCAAUAGAUGAUAAUGCACAAAGACAAUUGUCAUUCUCGGUCACCAAGAGACUACCACUACUGGUUAAAGAAGGAUAGGCCAGGGUUGCUAAGUAAUAAAAUCUAAGUCAAGGCCA
rnacentral:lncRNA from 1 species